rnacentral:rRNA from 1 species
GGUAGUCAAGAUGAGAAUUCUAAGGUGAGCGAGCGAACUCUCGUUAAGGAACUCGGCAAAAUGACCCCGUAACUUCGGGAGAAGGGGUGCUCUUUAGGGUUAACGCCCAGAAGAGCCGCAGUGAAUAGGCCCAAGCGACUGUUUAUCAAAAACACAGGUCUCUGCUAAACCGUAAGGUGAUGUAUAGGGGCUGACGCCUGCCCGGUGCUGGAAGGUUAAGAGGAGUGGUUAGCUUCUGCGAAGCUACGAAUCGAAGCCCCAGUAAACGGCGGCCGUAACUAUAACGGUCCUAAGGUAGCGAAAUUCCUUGUCGGGUAAGUUCCGACCCGCACGAAAGGCGUAACGAUUUGGGCACUGUCUCAACGAGAGACUCGGUGAAAUCAUAGUACCUGUGAAGAUGCAGGUUACCCGCGACAGGACGGAAAGACCCCGUGGAGCUUUACUGUAGCCUGAUAUUGAAAUUCGGCACAGCUUGUACAGGAUAGGUAGGAGCCUUUGAAACGUGAGCGCUAGCUUACGUGGAGGCGCUGGUGGGAUACUACCCUAGCUGUGUUGGCUUUCUAACCCGCACCACUUAUCGUGGUGGGAGACAGUGUCAGGCGGGCAGUUUGACUGGGGCGGUCGCCUCCUAAAAGGUAACGGAGGCGCUCAAAGGUUCCCUCAGAAUGGUUGGAAAUCAUUCAUAGAGUGUAAAGGCAUAAGGGAGCUUGACUGCGAGACCUACAAGUCGAGCAGGGUCGAAAGACGGACUUAGUGAUCCGGUGGUUCCGCAUGGAAGGGCCAUCGCUCAACGGAUAAAAGCUACCCCGGGGAUAACAGGCUUAUCUCCCCCAAGAGUUCACAUCGACGGGGAGGUUUGGCACCUCGAUGUCGGCUCAUCGCAUCCUGGGGCUGUAGUCGGUCCCAAGGGUUGGGCUGUUCGCCCAUUAAAGCGGUACGCGAGCUGGGUUCAGAACGUCGUGAGACAGUUCGGUCCCUAUCCGUCGUGGGCGUAGGAAAUUUGAGAGGAGCUGUCCUUAGUACGAGAGGACCGGGAUGGACAUACCUCUGGUGUACCAGUUGUCGUGCCAACGGCAUAGCUGGGUAGCUAUGUGUGGACGGGAUAAGUGCUGAAAGCAUCUAAGCAUGAAGCCCCCCUCAAGAUGAGAUUUCCCAACUUCGGUUAUAAGAUCCCUCAAAGAUGAUGAGGUUAAUAGGUUCGAGGUGGAAGCAUGGUGACAUGUGGAGCUGACGAAUACUAAUCGAUCGAAGACUUAAUCUA